rnacentral:ncRNA from 1 species
CUACGGACUUAAUUGGAUUGAGCCUUGGUAUGGAAACUUACUAAGUGAUAACUUUCAAAUUCAGAGAAACCCUGGAAUUAAUAAAAAUGGGCAAUCCUGAGCCAAAUCACGUUUUCCGAAAACAAACAAAGGUUCAGAAAGCGAAAAUAAAAAGGAUAGGUGCAGAGACUCGAUGGAAGCUGUUCUAACGAAUGGAGUUGAUUGUCUUACAUUGGUAGAGGAAUCCUUCUAUCGAAACUUCAGAAAAGAGGAAGGAUAAACCUGUAUACAUAGAAGAAUUGGUAUGAAUCGAUUCCAUAUUGAAGAAAGAAUCAAAUAUUCAUUGAUCAAAGCAUUCACGCAUAAUCUGAUAGAUCUUUUGAAUAACUGAUGAAAUCGGACGAGAAUAAAGAUAGAGUCCCGUUCUACAUGUCAAUACCGG